AAGUCGUAACAAGGUUUCCGUAGGUGAACCUGCGGAAGGAUCAUUAAUGAAUUGCAAGGAUGCUCUUUUUAGAGGUCCGACCCAAUCUCAUCCUUUCACCCUGUGCACAAACUACUUUUUACACCAUUUUAAACACAUAAAGUUAAUGAAUGUCAAUAGUCUCUUAAUUGAGCAUAAAGUUAUUAAAACUUUCGGCAACGGAUCUCUUGGCUCCC
rnacentral:misc_RNA from 1 species